AGCUCCAAUAGCGUAUACUAAUGUUGUUGCAGUUAAAAAGCUCGUAGUCGGAUUUCAGUUUGUUUUCAUUUAACCUUUUUGGUUUUUAUGUAAACUUACUUUAUGCAAGAAACUUUCAUGUUAUUUAUUUGAUAUGUUUUGGGACUUGCUCAUUUACUUUGAGAAAAUUAGAGUGUUCAAAGCAGGUAUUUGCCUGAAUAUUACUCUUGGAAUAAUAAUAUAGGACUUCAGUUCUAGUUUGUUGGUGAUCUGGAACCGGAGUAAUGAUUGAUAGGGACAGUUGGGGUCAUUCAUACUGCAAAGCGAGAGGUGGAAUUCUUGGACCUUUGUAUGAUGAACAACUGCGAAAGCAUUUGACUAGGAUGUUCCCG
rnacentral:rRNA from 1 species